UAGUUAGGGGAAUGAUGUACUACCGGCGAGCAAUAAAGCUCCAGGAAUUUCUUGAUAUGGCUUCUGAAAAAGGUAAGAUUA
rfam:Glycine soja cultivar W05 scaffold661_5, whole genome shotgun sequence.